rnacentral:lncRNA from 1 species
UGUGCGAACUCUUUCGUGCUGAAUCGAGAGAGAUGGUGUCUAGGAUGCCAAGAAGGGAUGAGAACCUUUCUCUUCCCUUCUUCAUCUCUCUCUCUAACUUCUCUCUCUGAUUUGAUCUGAGAAGGAGGUGGGGUGUGGAGAGGAAGAAGGGAGAUUGGCGUGGAGAUGAAGUCUUGUGGCAAGGAAGGAACACCCAUAAUUUUUCACACACGCCUUCACCCC